GAGGAGGAGGAGGAAGAGGAGGUGGAGGAAGAGGAGGUGGAGGAGAAAGAAGAGGUGAUUUCUACGUUCGAACGAGGAAGAUCGUGCUUCGUGCAUCUCCGCUGCGGAUCUCACGAUGACGGAUGGCUGUACGACGUGCGUUCUUCCCUCCUUUGAAACACGACUGACCAGCGACGGGGACGAACGGAACCACUUCUCUGUACCUUGAUACGAUCUCGUGGGCGUGCGGGGGUGACUGGAGUGAUGGGAUGGGGCCAGAGCCCCAUGGAGUUCGGGUAGACCCGUCUCCGGCCCAGCUCCCCAGCCCCCUCCGCCAUAAAUAUCGCCACUGCUCCUGCCAACGACGCAGAGGGCCACCACGAUCGCGAUGGAGGCCUCUAGUAAUCAACAACAACAACAAAAAGAGAAGGAGUCACGUGUUCACAGGCCUUAUGCCUUCGAUAAGAUGGAGGGGCUGGUGCGGGAGAUGCAAGACUCUCAAAACGGGGUACCCGUGCGCAGCCAAAAACAAUUUCUCACCUCGAUCCCCUCAGCGUUCAUGGGUGAGUGCCAUCGAUACCUGCGUUGUGGCAUAAACGUAAGCGGCCAUCACGGCCAGGAGAGUACAGUAGACUGCCUGCGUGUUGCAGGUUACGACCUCGUCGAGUGGCUUAUGGAUCGGCUUUCCAUCGAGGAAUCAGUAGAGGCGCUCCAUAUUGCUAAUCAACUAUGCCUGUACGGCUACUUCUUCCCGGUGAACGACUCCAAGAUGCUUACUGUAAAGGAUGAUAGCUCGCUAUAUAGAUUUCAGUCACCGUAUUAUUGGCCGUGGCAACAUAGAACCCCUGACAACGUGGAAUACGCUAUUUAUCUUGCUAAACGAACAUUACGGAACAAACAACGCCAUGCUCUUGAAGAUUACGAGAUCGAAGCUUUAAACAGUCUACGGAAGAACCUGCAAAAUAAAUGGGAUAUCAUACAACUACAGGCUGAAGAACAGGCUCAGGUACGAUUAGCUAAAGACCGGAAGAAGGGGGAUAAGAUAGUAAGCGAUUCACAGGAAAGAGCAUUUUGGAGAGUUUACCGGCCACCGCCGGGUUGUCUUAGUAGUCUUGAAGUAGUUCCAGGACCAACACGUUUUCGUCCAGGAUUUCCACGGCCUCCACCACGUAAACGCACCGUCGCUGAGUUACAACGAGAGGUGGACUUUCUUCGAAGCAGUUUAACACGCACGAGAAUAAAGGUUUCAGCUGCUAUAGAAAAUUUGAAGUCGUACUUUGAAACUUAUGUGGAAUACGACCCAAUGUUCGUACAUCCGCAACCUUCCAAUCCUUGGAUCACCGAUGACAGUACAUUCUGGCAGUUGAAUAAUCCACUAGUGGAAAUUCCUACGGAAAAACGUGUAAAACGAUGGGCAUUAUCGAUGGAAGAACUCAUGUCUGAUCCAACAGGCUUGCUAGAAUUCACGAAUUACCUGAGAAAAGAAUACAGUCAUGAGAAUAUUCGAUUUUGGGUGGCCGUUAAAGAUUUGAGACACAGUUAUCAAGCUCAAAUAACGGAAAAGGUCAACGAAAUUUUCAAAGAAUUCCUGGCGCCGGGUGCUCCUUGCGAGAUCAACAUCGAUGGAAAGACAAUGGAAAAGGUCCAUCAAGAAAUGAAAAAUCCCAGCAGAUUUACCUUCGAUUCAGCUGCCGAGCACGUAUAUACUCUACUUUUGAAGAAGGAUUGCUACCCCAGAUUUAUUCGCUCGGAUCAAUAUCGAAAUCUUUUAGCAGCCGGCAUACAGCCACUGCAAAAGAAAAGAUUUUUCAGCUUCGGUGGUCAAGCAAAAAAGAAAAUGGCGUCUAGCGUGAGUACAACGACGAGCACGUUGCAACAACAACAACAGCACGGUGGCAAUAUUGGAACCAGUGGAGGUGGUGGUGGUACUGGUGGUGGUGGUACUAGAAGAAGAGGAAGCGAUCGAAGCAUCUCGGGAUCAGCUCACGAGCUUGCCGUUUGUGGAGUACGUGAAAUAAGUUCUACGCCAAGAGUGUCGCAUUCUCAUAGCCAAUCAAAUCUCACCGAUAUUCCAUACAGGGAUGCUGGCGCCACGGAGGCGACAGUUCGCCCUAUGGACGACGUUUGCCCUUGGGACGCGAUCCCAGGGCCAAGUACAGAUGCCGGCCAGGAUGCAGCACCGUUUGGAACGAGCCCGUGGCCUGACACGUCUACGGAUCCCUGGGAAUACGGGAACGACGUAACCAAAACGUCGAUACAUUUCAUCGACGUGGCUCGUCCAUCUCGAAAGAAUUCCUCUCAGCUCGACUCCUGCAGUUCCUCUUCCGAUGUCAGUCUGGCUAUUGCGGAGGUCUCCGACAGGUUGAGAAAGUCCUGCAGCCUUCAGCACAGUUCUGUCCCGACUGCUAUGAUGGAACGGCAUGGUAUUGGUUCUGGAUCGGGCGGACAUACCAUCACCAGAAAUUAUUCCACUGGCUCGACCAGCAACAGAGUUAAACUCUCGGAUAUAGGUCGCCCAUUGGUCACCUCGUGCAACUUACCGUCGCCUCUAGAAUCAUUCGAAUAUAGUCACGCAGCUGGCGAGAAGUUCGAGGCGAUAAUUUGUCAAACAACGAUCGAAGAACCAGAAACAUCAACGACGUUAGAUACAACGCAACAAAUGGAUAAAGUUGUUACAAUAGAAGAAACGAAAAAAACUCUGAGAAGGUCAUCAGCGAAAGCACCAUUGAUAAGUAUCAGUGCGAUCGUCGGCGACUUGCCAAGUGAUUUUGAGGUGGUUGGAACAACAACUGGCGACGACAUUUGUCCGCCAACAAGAGAAACUAAAAUGGAAAUUGAACUGUUCGAAGAUAAAAACGUAGAAGAAACAGAACCAGAAAGGGUACAGGAAAAAGAAAAGGAAGAAAAAGAUGAGAUAAAAGAAGAAGAAGAAGAAGAAGAAGCAAAAGGAAAAGAAGAAGAAGAAAGAGAAGAAGAUGAAGAAAGAGGAGGAGAAGAAGAGCCGUUGGAAAAGGAAGAUGACAAAAUAACGAAGGAAGCUUGUAUCGAAACACAAAAGAAUGAAUCUACUGAAGAGGCUCAGGUUGUCCCUGUUUGGGAGCCGGACACCCAACAGGAAGACCAAAUGGCACCAACGGCCAUUGCAACCACCAGUACCGUGCCCACUCGGGAUAAGCGUGACAAUAAUGUUAACGAAGUGUGCCCGUGGGAGGAUGAGUAUAAUUUCUCGUAGAGGCGUAGAAUCGAAGACUCCGAAAUGGAAGAUGAGACGCGUUAUAGUUGAAGGGAGAACUGUAGAGUGGAUACGACCUAUGUAAAAACGUAUGCGACAUUAGGUUAUUUAUAACUUGGUGUUAACGCUCUAUGAUAUUGCAUUUUACACUUAAAACACCCAUUCGUAAAUUUCGAUUACCAUUAUUCUCAAACUAAUCCGAUGAUCUCGAGUGCAUGAGCUAUCGUGGGUUUUACGAUUUAACUGUGUCAUUUUUAAAAUCGUAUUGGUGUUGUUGAUUGAAAGUGAACAGAGAAAAAGUUUAAGAUCGAUUAAUAAUCGAUGAGUGCACCGUCGAUAAUGAAGAUUCGUGAUCUUCUUAAUAUGUAUACAAGAAUAUAAAAUUAUGCUCGAUCUACGAAUAUAUAAAUACGACUGAUAUGAACGAUCAUUAAGAAAUAUUUCUUUUCCUUUAUGGAUUUAAAGAUAUAAAAUACAAAAUGAUCUAUGGCCUAAAAAAAAUUUUCUUUAUCUAUACCAACAUUUGUCGACUGAGCCAUUACGGCCAUUUAUUAUCGCCAUUUUUUUUUCUUUUCUUUCUUAAUAUAAGAUGAGAUGUGUUAAUUAAUUUUCAUUUUUUUUGCUUUCUACUUAAUGUUAUUAAAACUAUUUAAUAUUAACGAAAACGCGUUGUUAUACAUAAAGCGUAUUAAAGUACAUAUCUAGAUUAUAAUAAAUAUGUGGUAGUGGUGCGUAGUACAACCAUAUUUCUGUGUCGAAUAAAAAAAAAAAAAAAGAAAAGAAAAGAAAAAAUAUUAAUCGAAGAUAUUUACUACGAUAUCGUUCGUUAAGCGUUUAAAGUAAAAUAAUAGAUGAUAUUUGAAAGAAAAAAAAAAUAAAAUUCCAUAUCGAAACUUAUUCGAUAUUUAAUAUACCGAACAAAUUUGAUUUUAAUUUUUGUCCAUCAUAAACAUGACCUUUGGAUGCCAGUCAAUAAUGAGCCCCUUGACUGCACGCAAAGAUCAUGAAUUUUGUCAUUAAUUUAUUAUUAAUUUAUAUAGAUAAAUUAUAUAAUUUCAAAACUUUCCAAAUAGCGAUGCUAAAAAUAAAUCUUAAUCUUUUUUACAUUAAAUAUUAUUUCGUUCGAUCAAUUUGAUCCAACAUAAUUAUAUAUGAUCAUUUCCUAUCCGAUUUUCUAAUUUGUCGUUGAAAUAAAAAAAAAAAAACAAAAGAAAGAAAAAAAGAUCAAACAAAAAGCUAACGACGUCAACGUAAACGUAUCUCUUAUAAUUCGUGUUAGAAAUAUUAACAAAUGUUGCGCUGUUAAAGUCCUUCGAUAUUAUUAUAUAACUAAUAAUCGUUUGUCCGCUGCUUAAGCGUCUAAUUAAAUAUUAUCGAUACGUUAGUCCACUACUUGUUAGUUAUAAAUAUACGAUUAAAAAAAAAAAAAAAAA